UACGUAGGGGGGCAAGCGUUGUCCGGAUUUAUUGGGCGUAAAGAGCUCGUAGGUGGUUCGGUAAGUCGGAUGUGAAAUCUCCAGGCUCAACCUGGAGGGGUCAUUCGAUACUGCCGGGCUAGAGUCCGGAAGAGGCGAGUGGAAUUCCUGGUGUAGCGGUGAAAUGUGCAGAUAUCAGGAAGAACACCAAUGGCGAAGGCAGCUCGCUAGGACGGUACUGACGCUGAGGCGCGAAAGCGUGGGGAGCAAACAGG
rnacentral:rRNA from 1 species